GAUGAAGAACGUAGCGAAAUGCGAUACUUGGUGUGAAUUGCAGAAUCCCGUGAACCAUCGAGUCUUUGAACGCAAGUUGCGCCCGAAGCCAUUAGGCCGAGGGCACGCCUGCCUGGGCGUCACACGUCGUUGCCCCCCCAUCUACUCCUUCGGGAUUGCGGGGGGCGGAUGAUGGCCUCCCGUGCGCCUCGUCGCGCGGUUGGCAUAAAUGCCAAGUCCUCGGCGACGCACGCCACGACAAUCGGUGGUUGCGAAACCUAGGUUGCCCGUCGUGUGCGGUCGUCGCGCAUCGAGGGCUCGAAAAAAUUGCCGGGCUCCGGCUCGGCUUUCAACGCGACCCCAGGUCAGGCGGGGUUACCCGCUGAAUUUAAGCAUAUCAAUAAGCGGAGGA
rnacentral:misc_RNA from 1 species